rnacentral:rRNA from 1 species
UACGUAGGGUGCAAGCGUUAAUCGGAAUUACUGGGCGUAAAGCGUGCGCAGGCGGUUUUGUAAGUCAGAUGUGAAAUCCCCGGGCUUAACCUGGGAACUGCGUUUGAAACUACAAGGCUAGAGUGUGGCAGAGGGGGUGGAAUUCCACGUGUAGCAGUGAAUGCGUAGAUAUCGAGAGGAACACCAGUGGCGAAGCGAGUCUCUGGACGACUCCUGACACUGAGCACGAAGCUGGGAGCAACAG